UACGGGGGAUGCAAGCGUUUAUCCGGAAUUAUUGGGCGUAAAGGGUCCUGAGGUGGCUAGCCUAAGUCUAUUGUGAAAUAUCAGGGCUUAACCCUGAACAUGCGGUGGAAACUAGAAAGCUUGAGUACAGUAGGGGCGGAGGGAAUUUCCGGUGGAGCGGUGAAAUGCAUAGAUAUCGGGAAGAACACCAACGGCGAAAGCACUCCGCUGGGCUGAUACUGACACUGACAGACGAAAGCUAGGGUAGCGAAAGGG
rnacentral:rRNA from 1 species